ACUCCUACGGGAGGCAGCAGUGGGGAAUAUUGGACAAUGGGCGCAAGCCUGAUCCAGCCAUGCCGCGUGAGUGAUGAAGGCCCUAGGGUUGUAAAGCUCUUUCACCGGUGAAGAUAAUGACGGUAACCGGAGAAGAAGCCCCGGCUAACUUCGUGCCAGCAGCCGCGGUAAUACGAAGGGGGCUAGCGUUGUUCGGAUUUACUGGGCGUAAAGCGCACGUAGGCGGACUAUUAAGUCAGGGGUGAAAUCCCGGGGCUCAACCCCGGAACUGCCUUUGAUACUGGUAGUCUUGAGUUCGAGAGAGGUGAGUGGAAUUCCGAGUGUAGAGGUGAAAUUCGUAGAUAUUCGGAGGAACACCAGUGGCGAAGGCGGCUCACUGGCUCGAUACUGACGCUGAGGUGCGAAAGCGUGGGGAGCAAACAGGAUUAGAUACCCCUGUAGUCCC
rnacentral:rRNA from 1 species